rnacentral:rRNA from 1 species
AAUAGAUACCCCGGUAGUCCACGCCGUAAACGAUGAGUGCUAAGUGUUAGAGGGUUUCCGCCCUUUAGUGCUGAAGUUAACGCAUUAAGCACUCCGCCUGGGGGAGUACGGCCGCAAGGCUGAAACUCAAAGGAAUUGACGGGGGGCCCGCACAAGCGGUGGAGCAUGUGGUUUAAUUCGAAGCAACGCGAAGAACCUUACCAGGUCUUGACAUCCUCUGACAACCCUAGAGAUAGGGCUUCUCCUUCGGGAGCAGAGUGACAGGUGGUGCAUGGUUGUCGUCAGCUCGUGUCGUGAGAUGUUGGGUUAAGUCCCGCAACGAGCGCAACCCUUGAUCUUAGUUGCCAUCAUUCAGUUGGGCACUCUAAGGUGACUGCCGGUGACAAACCGGAGGAAGGUGGGGAUGACGUCAAAUCAUCAUGCCCCUUAUGACCUGGGCUACACACGUGCUACAAUGGACGGUACAAAGAGCUGCAAGACCGCGAGGUGGAGCUAAUCUCAUAAAACCCGUUCUCAGUUCGGA